GGAUCACAAAAAGAAAAUUUUGAACACCUUAUUUCAACAUCUUUUAGAGAAGGAUAAAUUAAAUUAUAUUAUAACCAAAGAAAAAAUUAGCCAAAAAAUUGCUGAUAUAGACAAAAAAGAUGCAAGAAAAAUUACGAAUUCUAUUAUAACAUUUGAUCUUAUAAUUACUCUUGCUAAAUUGUGGAGAGGGUUGAUCUUGACUACAACUUUUUUAUCAUCAGUUGAGAUAAAAUUUUUGGGACCAAGCCAAAAAAGCCAUACAAAUAUAUUAAGUCCUUUACAAAAAGCCUAUGAACAGUUAAUUAAAGACGUUAGCAGCCUUAAGAUGGAUGCAUAUGUUACCUAUUUAAAUAUGUUUUUUAAAAUGCAUAAAACUUAUUCUUAUAAUAUUGUUCCAUCAAAUAAUUUAAACAUUAAUGUAAAAAAUAAUGAAAAUAGCCCAAUAAUUAUGACCACAACUAAUUUAUAUAGUAGA